GACGAACGCUGGCGGCGUGCUUAACACAUGCAAGUCGAACGGAAAGGCCCCUUUGGGGGUACUCGAGUGGCGAACGGGUGAGUAACACGUGAGUAACCUGCCCUUGACUUCGGGAUAACUUCAGGAAACUGGGGCUAAUACCGGAUAGGAAUCCUUGCUGCAUGGUGGGGGUUGGAAAGCUUCGGCGGUUUUGGAUGGACUGGCGGCUUAUCAGCUUGUUGGUGGGGUAGUGGCUUACCAAGGCUUUGACGGGUAGCCGGCCUGAGAGGGCGACCGGCCACAUUGAGACUGAGGUGCGGCCCAGGCUCCUACGGGAGGCAGCAGUGGGGAAUAUUGCACGAUGGGCGGAGGCCGGAUGAAGCAAGGCCGCGUGCGGGAUGACGGCCUUCGGGUUGUAAACCGAAUUCAGCAGGAGCGAAGCUUGUGGUGACGGUACCUGCAGAAGAAGCAACGGCUAACUACGUG
rnacentral:rRNA from 1 species